ACUACGGGGCGCUGCAGUGGGGAAUAUUGCACAAUGGGGGAAACCCUGAUGCAGCGACGCCGCGUGAGUGAAGAAGUAAUUCGUUAUGUAAAGCUCUAUCAGCAGGGAAGAAAAUGACGGUACCUGAGUAAGAAGCACCGGCUAACUACGUGCCAGCAGCCGCGGUAAUACGUAGGGGGCAAGCGUUAUCCGGAUUUACUGGGUGUAAAGGGAGCGUAGGCGGAAGUGCAAGUCUGCAGGGAAAGGCGGGGGCGCAACCCCGGGACUGCUCUGGAAACUGUACGGCUUGAGUACAGGAGAGGUAAGUGGAAUUCCUAGUGUAGCGGUGAAAUGCGUAGAUAUUAGGAGGAACACCAGUGGCGAAGGCGGCUUACUGGACUGUAACUGACGUUGAGGCUCGAAAGCGUGGGGAGCAAACAGGAUUAGAUACCCUGGUAGUC
rnacentral:rRNA from 1 species